rnacentral:rRNA from 1 species
GACGAACGCUGGCGGCGUGCCUAAUACAUGCAAGUCGAACGCUGAAGGAGGAGCUUGCUCUUCUGGAUGAGUUGCGCACGGGUGAGUAACGCGUAGGUAACCUGCCUGGUAGCGGGGGAUAACUAUUGGAAACGAUAGCUAAUACCGCAUAACAGUAGAUGUUGCAUGACAUUUACUUAAAAGGUGCAAUUGCAUCACUACCAGAUGGACCUGCGUUGUAUUAGCUAGUUGGUGGGGGAACGGCUCACCAAGGGGACGAUACAUAGCCGACCUGGGGGGGGGAUCGGCCACACUGGGAAUUGGGCACGGCCCAAGCUCCUUCGGGAGGGAGCAGUAGGGAAACUUCGGCAAUGGACGGAAGGCUGACCGGGCAACGGCGCGUGAGUGAAGAAGGUUUUCGGAUCGUAAAGCUCUGUUGUAAGGGAAGGACGAGUGGGGGAGUGGAAAGUUCACACUGUGACGGUAUCUUACCAGAAAGGGACGGCUAACUACGUG